rnacentral:misc_RNA from 1 species
UUUUCAUUGCCAACCCUGACUUGGCUUUGAGAUUUAAGCUCAAUGCACCAUUAAACAAGUAUGUUAGGAAGACUUUCUAUACACAACAUCCUGUUGUUGGCUACACAGAUUACCCAUUUCUCAACGCUAAAACUGCUCAAAAUAAUAUUCCUCUUUCUCGCCUUUGAUUGGACUCUUUUCACCAAAAAAAAAAUUGCUUGAUUGAAGUAUUAUUGAAAGAGUUGAG